rnacentral:rRNA from 1 species
CAUAUGACUCUCGGCAACGGAUAUCUCGGCUCUCGCAUCGAUGAAGAACGUANCGAAAUGCAAUACUUGGUGUGAAUUGCAGAAUCCCGUGAACCAUCGAGUCUUUGAACGCAAGUUGCGCCCGAGGCCUUCCGGCCGAGGGCACGCCUGCCUGGGCGUCACGC